UUCAAAAUUAAAUAGACUUUGAAAUGUGUCUAAAGUCGCUCUAAAGUUUCAUGAUCAUUAUAUUAUUCAGAGUCAAGGCAAGUUUUUAAUAAAUUGUAUGAAUAUCAAGAAGAUUAUUUGGAUCUUGAACAUAAUUAUCCGGCUGAGUACUCCCGUGAUCUCGUUAAGAUUUGCAGUAAAUGCAACGUUUAUCUCCUCGUUGCUAAUCAUGAAAAGUUUGCAAACUUAUGCCAAUGAUAAUGUCAUCGAAAUUCAUCGAGGAAGAAAAUAUAGUCGUCUUAUAACGUGCUGAACCUUUACCAUCUCCUUCUCCUUAACUCGCUAGACUCUUUAACGGAUUUUAAUGACUACUUGUAGAAAUGAGAGUACAAGUUGUAAAUUAUUCGAGAUGACACAAAUAUCAGUGUUUCCACCGACUGCUUCCAUACUUUAAGCUUCCUAGUGGUUUCUUCCCUUCAAAAUUUGUUUUGCAACUUCUAAUAGUAAAAAUUGCAAUGGAUUAUUGUCAGAUUCUUGAAGAUAUAUAUUAUAGCAUAGUAAUAUUAGAUAGAUAAUUAUAUCGGUAAUAAUCAGAUUCCACUUAAACUUCGAAAUAAUGUUGUAACAAAUUAACAAAACAAGGAUUCAUUCGAUAAUAGAAAAUAUAAUUAAAAUGAGAUGCCUCGUAUUGUAUCCGUUAAAGAAAUUGUAUGAGCAUAAUAUAAUAAUUAUGCAAGUAAUAUUUAGAUCCCAUUUAAACUUCAAAAUAAAAUUGUCACCUCAACGAGGACUUACUCGAUAAUCUAAUAAAACAUUAAAAAAGCAUAUAUCACGUGACGUAUCAAUCAAAGAAGCUGAUAAGAUUAUUUAUAUAUUAAUUUUAGACCCAGUACAUGUAACAUACUUCUUUUAACUAUUCGUAUUAGCGAUUAACAUCAAUGAAAAUUCCUAACGAUGAAUGAAAAAGGCGCGUGCAAGGCUCCAAAGUUGGGUGUGUGGAGGCGUCUGUGAUCAUCGUGACAAUGGAGGACCGGCAUCGCGGUGCUUUAACAGAACGGAACGAUAACGAGACAGACGAUUUGCCCGUAGAUGCCGCCGGUUCAAUUGAACGGCAUGCAGACAACGUGGCCGUUGGUCACUGCGAAAUAGAGAACGACGUGUGAAAUGGGUAUCGUGAUGUACCGACCGGAUGCCACUUCCUGCUUAUCACGUCUGCGCAUCAUUGUAACGUGUACCGUACCUAGCGAUGGGAAUAAGACGAUUCGAAGCCUCUCGAGACUGAGACUCACCCUCCAUGAUUUCGACUUGUCCACUGCGAGACUUUACAAUUUUCUUAAUGCCGCCAGUUCUUAAUACGCAUAACAGUUUUUAUAAUUGCAAUGGCCUUGUAUAAACUGAUGAUUUUAUUAGAAAAGAAGUAUCUAGGAUUUUAUUAAAGAAGUAUCUCAGAAAAAUUGGCAGAAACUUAGAAAUUAUACGAGCGUUUAUUGCAUAAUUAUUUAUGAGAGACGAAUCUGACAAGAUCAAUGAGGAAGAAGCGCUUUAAUUCAGUUUGGACCUGUCAUAAGGCAAAUAUAUAUGUUUUUCCCAUUUCUACCAGUCUUGUCCACUUGAUAUCAUAUGGAGAAAAAAGGAACAUUAUAGUUGGUGGAUAAUGUAGGAAGUAGCAAAGUCGAUGCGCAAGCGUAUCGGUAAGCAGUUCCCGAUAGAUCUGAUCCAUUAACGCUUUCUUUUUCUUACCAGAUGUAGAUAACGUUUCAUGUGUAUCUAGAAAUUUGAAUAACAAGGGUUUAGAAACAAAUCGCCCACACAGAAGCGUGAAAUAGGACUUCUCUGUGUUUACUAAUAAGGUAGAGAGGAAGACGGGAGGAAAGAAAUCACUCUGGUGUCACUUGCCAACCGUGUACUACUCUCUCUUUUUCUCUCUCUCUCUCUCUCUUUUCUAUUCCCUUCCAUACCUGGUUGGCUUUCGUCUCGUUCUCCAACAAACGGUAAACCGUGUUAUCACAACUAUGCCAAAAAUGCAAAUCAACGAGUGAGGCCUUUCUAAAGAGGUUGGAAUGCAACGCGCUCGAAAGUCCUGGAAAGGCCUGUCCUGCGAUUGCAACAGAUGCAAUGGCGGCGGUCACACCACCACGAGGAAAGUCCUUCGUGAUCGCGAUUGCAAUUUAUUUUUGAUGUUGCCUGACAAUCAGCCGCCCAUAGAAAAUAUAUCAACGACAGCAAGCUUUCGAUUAUUUCGAUGAGAAAAUUAUCCGCCCAAUGAGACGAUGCCGCGAGUGAUUCUGCGAGUGUUGAUCGACGAAGGAAACACGUCCCUUUCUUUUUCAUUUACUUAGCUACACUACUUCCUCAUUUUAUACCUAGUUACACUAUUUCUUUUCGAUUUUGUUUUCUUUAGCACUUAUGUGGGCUAUCAUUAUUGAGUCAUUCAAGAUCAUAAUAAUUUAGAGUUAGAUUAUUUAAUUUUUAAUUUAGUUUUAUUUUAUUAUUAACCUAUAUCACGGGAAUAUACAGUACAAAGUAACAUUAAAUGACCUAAGAUUUUAUUAAUCUUAGAUAAAUUAUUAUAGUCAUCUACAUAUAACCCAAUGAUACUAUCUGAGAGUUAAAUAAAAGAAUUAAGUCAUAUCUUUAUGCGAUAAAAAUAGUAAGUGUCAUGAAAAUUGAUUAGCUAUUAUGGUACACGUUAUCUACUGGGCCCUCUUGUACACAAUUGAACUAAUAUUUUUGGUAAAAUUUUGCAAAUUUUAAACAAGAUAUACGUACGUUGUUACUAUAUAUAGACUUUUAUAUCUAUAAAUUCCUAUUCGUAAUUAAAAGAAUUAAAAAGAUAUAAUCUAGACGGAAAAUUAUUUUAUUUACUAAUUAUAGAGUGCUAUACCUUUCCUUGUCAACAAUUUCUGUUCCAGAAUAUUUACAAAUAAAAUAGGUACAAAAUUUCGCAACUGCAAAA